CAUAGGGGUAUGAUAGAACACCGUGCAUGGUUAUUAUAGGUAAUUCUGAGAAGCCGCUACCAGGGCAGUGUAUUGGGAAUAAGGGAUUUGCAGGAUUUUGUCAGUAAGGAGAGUUCUUUAUUCGUCACCUGUUUAAAUUACUGGAUCAAAAGGUGUCGUUUCCGUUGUUAGUGCUGUUAUUAGCUGGCUUUGCAGUGAUGGCAUGAUCACGGUUGUUUACAGUUUAUGUCAAAGAAGCAGGCUGUAAUGUGUUAAUCAAGCAUUUACUGGAAAUGAAACAGUGGCCGCUUUAUUAUUUACACGAGAAGUGAUGAGCUUGUAGAUGUCAGGUGUAGUUGAAGUGUCCACAUAAAUAAAUACUUCCUAGUGAGUGUGUCUUGAGCUCACUUCUCUUAUCUUUGUGUUAGGACCUCAUCGGUUGCAGCCUCUGACCAGUUCAGCGUGUGCCUGUGUAUGAAGCAAAACAAACAGCCUCACAGGUUACGGCUCCAUUAAUAAAGCAUCCUCCCUGCAGACCCUUACAAUGAUCAGAGACGAGCGCACGGAUGAGACAGGGUUCCCUUUUUACAGGGUUCAUUUUAAUCCUGACUCCUUCCCAGGGUGUUUCCCGAGCGGAGGGAGAGAAUGGCUCCGCUGUCGGCUCAAUGCCCACAGGAACGAAGCGGGGACCAGCGCAUCGUAAGACAACGCACAGCGGUGACUCAGCCUCCAGCAGCAGAAGCAGUCCAGACGAGGCCGGAGUUUAGAGCUGUGUGUCAUUAAGGCCCGCGGACCGCUUCAAGGUUCUGUGGUACCUCUGCUGGAAGACGUCUCCGUGGUUGAGUCACUGCUUAGAAAGCUUCCACAUCCUGCCUUCGCUGAGACACCAGGAGGAUAGACAGACAGAUAGAUAUGUAUUAUCUGAGGUGUUUACCAAAGCCGCACUACAGAGUAGAGAGAGGAGCCCACAGCACAUACACAUCAAGCGAAGGAUGUUCCAGUGCUCUGAUUUCUCAAGCAGAUAUACAGAAAACCCAUCGCCAAAGAAUGAAGGUGAGGCUCUCUAGAGAAAACCCCAUCUCUGGUUCUUUAAUGCAGAAAAAACACAGAGGAUCAGCUGCUUAAUCUAAAGCUCAGUCAACAGCAACAUCUACCGCAGGUAGAAUUGAUCACGAUUGUAGGUUUUCUGUCUAGACCAGCGUCACAUGCCUGAUAUACAGUAUUUACUGUGCUGAUGUUUGCUGCAUGCAGUGGCUGCACACCUCCUCAGCAGAGUGCCUGCUAAAAAUAACACCUGAUGCAGACCAGCCACAGACCCCAGCAAUGCGUACAGUUACAUCUAUCGAUCAUUAUCUAGCUGACACGUCCAGAAGACCUCCUGCUGCUCUGUGAAUAUGCAUCCUGGCGCUGAUUAAGUGCGGUUCUGCCCUCCUGACCUGCUGGAUCGGUCCUGGUCGUGUGUCCAGACCAGCGCUCAGCUGCACAGUACAGUAACCCAUGAAUUAGUUAGGCUUCCCUAUUAUUUUAGCUCGUCCU
rnacentral:lncRNA from 1 species